rnacentral:rRNA from 1 species
CACUGUGGUAGUAACAGAGGGUUUGAUUCUGGCUCAGAGUGAACGCUGGCGGUGGUAGGCCUGGGAAUACAUGCAAAGUCGAACGGCAUAAUGGGACCGGUCUUGUAGGCGAGCGGCGAACGGGUGAGUAAUGGUCGAACGUGCCUAGUGGGAUGACUACGCGAAAGCGUAGCUAAUACCGCAUACGCCCUUCGGGGAAAGCGGGGGACCGGGCCGCAAUUUUGUUAGAGCGGCCGAUAUCGAUUAGCUAGUUGGUGGGUAACGGCUCACCAAGGCGACGAUCCGUGGCUGGUUUGAGAGGACGACCAGCCACACUGGACUGGAGACACGGCCCAGACUCCUACGGGAGGCAGCAGUGGGGAAUUUUGGACAAUGGGGGAAACCCUGAUCCAGCCAUCCCGGGCGUGUGCGAUGAAGGCCUUCGGGCCAGGUGCCACUGCAGAAGAUGUUCGGCACGAUGCCAGACACUCUGUGCAACUGACGGUACUGCAGAAUAAGCACCGCUAACUACGUGCCAGCAGCCGCGGUAAUACGUAGGGUGCAAGCGUUAAUCGGAAUUACUGGGCGUAAAGCGUGCGCAGGCGGUUCGGAAAGAAAGAUGUGAAUCCCAGAGCUUAACUGAAACUGCAUUUUUAACUACCGAGCUAGAGUGUGUCAGAGGGGAGGUGGAAUUCCGCGUAGUUAUGAAAUGCGUAGAUAUGCGGAGGAACACCGAUGGCAGAAGGCAGCUCUCCCGGGAUAAAUACCGACGCUCAUGCACGAAAGCGUGGGGAGCAAACAGAUUAGAUAAUUCUGGUAGUCCACGCCCUAAACGAUGCUGUCGUAAAUUAGCUGCUGUGGGGCCUUUCUACCUGGUAGCGCAGCUAAGUGAAGCGACCGCCUGGGUAUAUUGUCGCAAGAUUAAAACUCAAAGGAAUUGACGGGGACCCGCACAAGCGGUGGAUGAUAGGAUUAACGAUGCAACGCGAAACCUUACCUACCCUUGACAUGUCUGGAAUCCCGAAGAGAUUUGGGAGUGCUCGCAAGAGAACCGGAACACAGGUGUUGCAUGCUGUCGUCAGCUCGUGUCGUGAGAUGUUGGGUUAAGUCCCAACGAGCGUAACCCUUGUCAUUAUUGCUACGAAAGGGCACUCUAAUGAGACUGCCGGUGACAAACCGAUAGCGGUGGGAUGACGUCAAGUCCUCAUGGCCCUUAUGGGUAGGGAUUCACACGUCAUACAAUGGUCGGGACAGAGGGUCGCCAACCCGCGAGGGGGAGCCAAUCCCAGAAACCCGAUCGUAGUCCGGAUCGCAGUCUGCAACUCGACUGCGUGAAGUCGGAAUCGCUAGUAAUCGCGGAUCAGCAUGUCGCGGUGAAUACGUUCCCGGGUCUUGUACACACCGCCCGUCACACCAUGGGAGUGGGUUUUACCAGAAGUAGUUAGGCCUAACCGUAAGGAGGGCGAUUACCACGGUAGGAUUCACAUGACUGGGGUGAAGUCGUAACAAGGUAA